rnacentral:rRNA from 1 species
UUAAGUUAAUAAGGGCGCACGGUGGAUGCCUUGGCACUAGGAGCCGACGAAGGACGUGACAAACGACGAUAUGCCUUGGGUAGCUGUAAGUAAGCGAUGAUCCAGGGAUUUCCGAAUGGGGGAACCCAACAGGUAGUACCUGUUACCCACAUCUGUUAAGGAUGUGAGGAGGAAGACGCAGUGAACUGAAACAUCUAAGUAGCUGCAGGAAGAGAAAGCAAAAGCGAUUGCCUUAGUAGCGGCGAGCGAAACGGCAGGAGGGCAAACCGAAGAGUUUACUCUUCGGGGUUGUAGGACUGCAAUGUGGACUCAAAGAUUAUAGAAGAAUGAUUUGGGAAGAUCAGCCAAAGAGAGUAAUAGCCUCGUAUUUAAAAUAGUCUUUGUACUUAGCAGUAUCCUGAGUACGGCGGGACACGUGAAAUCCCGUCGGAAUCUGGGAGGACCAUCUCCCAACCCUAAAUACUCCCUAGUGACCGAUAGUGAACCAGUACCGUGAGGGAAAGGUGAAAAGCACCCCGGGAGGGGAGUGAAAUAGAACCUGAAACCGUGUGCCUACAACAAGUUCGAGCCCGUUAAUGGGUGAGAGCGUGCCUUUUGUAGAAUGAACCGGCGAGUUACGUUAUGAUGCGAGGUUAAGUUGAAGAGACGGAGCCGUAGGGAAACCGAGUCUGAAUAGGGCGCCUUAGUAUCAUGACGUAGACCCGAAACCAUGUGACCUACCCAUGAGCAGGUUGAAGGUGCGGUAAGACGCACUGGAGGACCGAACCAGGGCACGUUGAAAAGUGCUUGGAUGACUUGUGGGUAGCGGAGAAAUUCCAAACGAACUUGGAGAUAGCUGGUUCUCUCCGAAAUAGCUUUAGGGCUAGCGUCGACAUUAGAGAUUCUUGGAGGUAGAGCACUGUUUGGGUGAGGGGUCCAUCCCGGAUUACCAAUCUCAGAUAAACUCCGAAUGCCAAUGAAUUAUGGUCGGCAGUCAGACUGCGAGUGCUAAGAUCCGUAGUCGAAAGGGAAACAGCCCAGACCACCAGCUAAGGUCCCAAAAUAAUUGUUAAGUGGAAAAGGAUGUGGGGUUGCACAGACAACUAGGAUGUUAGCUUAGAAGCAGCUAUUCAUUCAAAGAGUGCGUAAUAGCUCACUAGUCGAGUGACCCUGCGCCGAAAAUGUACCGGGGCUAAAACAAUUUACCGAAGCUGUGGAUACCUUUAUAGGUAUGGUAGGAGAGCGUUCUAUGUGUGAUGAAGGUAUACCGUGAGGAGUGCUGGAACGCAUAGAAGUGAGAAUGCCGGUAUGAGUAGCGAAAGACAGGUGAGAAUCCUGUCCACCGUAAGACUAAGGUUUCCAGGGGAAGGCUCGUCCGCCCUGGGUUAGUCGGGACCUAAGGAGAGACCGAAAGGUGUAUCCGAUGGACAACAGGUUGAUAUUCCUGUACUAGAGUAUGUAGUGAUGGAGGGACGCAGUAGGCUAACUAAAGCAGACGAUUGGAAGAGUCUGUCUAAGCAGUGAGGUGUGAAUUGAGUCAAAUGCUUAAUUCUAUAACAUUGAGCUGUGAUGGGGAGCGAAGUUUAGUAGCGAAGUUAGUGACGUCACACUGCCAAGAAAAGCUUCUAGCGUUUAAACAUACUCUACCCGUACCGCAAACCGACACAGGUAGUCGAGGCGAGUAGCCUCAGGUGAGCGAGAGAACUCUCGUUAAGGAACUCGGCAAAAUGACCCCGUAACUUCGGGAGAAGGGGUGCUGACUUUAAGUCAGCCGCAGUGAAUAGGCCCAAGCAACUGUUUAUCAAAAACACAGCUCUCUGCUAAAUCGUAAGAUGAUGUAUAGGGGGUGACGCCUGCCCGGUGCUGGAAGGUUAAGAGGAGUGCUUAGCGUAAGCGAAGGUAUGAAUUGAAGCCCCAGUAAACGGCGGCCGUAACUAUAACGGUCCUAAGGUAGCGAAAUUCCUUGUCGGGUAAGUUCCGACCCGCACGAAAGGCGUAAUGAUUUGGGCACUGUCUCAACGAGAGACUCGG